CCGAAGGACAGCGAGGGUUUGAGCUCGGGCGGAUGCAAUGUGCCUCGUCCUAAAAUCGCCCAGCAGGUCACUGUGGAUGAGCAGCAGGUCACUGUGGAUGAGCAGCAGGUCACUCUGGAUGAGGUGGACUCGUACGGCAAAUAUGUCAGACUCCGCAAUACAGUUGAUGAGGAUCAGAAUUUGGGGAACUGGCAGGUGAAGCUCCAGAUUGGAUCUUCUGCUCCCAUCGUAUUCAAGUUUGCCGCAGAAUUCAUCCUGAAGGCCCACGAGAGUGUCACGAUCUGGGCGGCUGACGCUGGCCGAAACCACAAUCCUCCCUCUGAUCUAGUCUGGGAGACACAGUCCAACUGGGGACCCGUAGGCCAGGUCCACUUUACCUUGAUCAACGCCAACGGAGAGG